UUGACCUGUGAAGUCUGCUCAUUAUGAACUUUUGGACGUACUUGUGUGGAGGGAGUAACAGACUUUUUUCAAGAUGUAUGUGAAUUUUACCUGUCGAAGUCUGUUUACUUAAGAACUUUGGACGUACUUGUUUGAGGUUUCUAAGAAUAUAUGAUGCUAGCUUUUCAAAAUAUUUAUUUGGCUGUACGGAACCCUAGAGACGCUUCUGUUAAUGAAACCUACACUAGGAUAAUCUUAAAUAAAUGCUUACUGCUAAGGAAAAAGGAAUAAAGGAAAACAAAAAAAUGAAUAAGCCAUGGAGAGAGUUGGUGCAGCAAUGUUAUGACUUUCUCAACAGUAGUUCAACAUCAAGUCAAUCAAAUCUUGAAAAAUAUCGUGACGCUUUCACGAGAGAGAAGAUAUAUAUAAAGCAAAUGUUCACGGUGACGUCUCAUCUUAUGCAAAUACGGUGUCUGGCAGGUAGCAAGGCCAUUUGAACGACCUCAACAAUAACGGUUUACUGCUGAAUGACUAACUGCUGAUACUGCAGCAUUCCCAAAUGCAUCACAACUAUCUUCAUUCAAAAACUUUUUCCAUUUACUAGAAAUCUGUUAAACAUUCAGUUUCUUUGUCUAUAUGUCCAAAGUGUAGAGGAUUUGGCCAGUAGUUACAAGCUUCCAGGUUCGAACUCGCUGAGGAGCAUACUUGGCAGGUAUCUCCUUUGAUAAAUUUGCGUCGACCAACAUUCUGGAAGUGGAAUUUAAGCACCUAAACUUCCAGAUGUUGCUACGGAAGAAGUGAAUUUUCUUAGCUAAACCUAAUAUCAAUUAUCCCAGGGAGAAGGGUAGCUGACGUUGUUAAAACAUUGAACAACUAUUUUCUAUGGAUUAAUGAACAAAUACUUACAAUAAUCCCUCGCCGUAUCGCGGUUCACCUAUCGCUGUUCCCUUAUCGCGAUUUAUUAUUUAAGCUUAUAGCGAUUCCUUUGUGGUGUUGUUUUGCAUUUAUAAUAAAGUAAAUAUUUACAAAUUAUAAAACUAAUUUUAAAAAAUAUGCAGUACAGUACUGUUUCUAGUUCGCGAAUUUUCACCUUAUGCGGUGGCUUUUGGAAUGUAAUAUCCGCGAUAGAUGAGGGAUUACUCCAUAUGAUCUAUCUUACUGAAAUUCUGUUGAAAGCAUAUAUGGAGAUCAGAAGUUCAUCACGGUUUCUGAUAACAUUGUGUAAAAAUCUUUAACGUUUGAAAAUAUACUUUUCUACUCUAGGCAGAA